rnacentral:rRNA from 1 species
GGGCGCUUCCUGCAGUCGAACGGAAACGAGAGAAGCUUGCUUCUUGGCGUCGAGUGGCGAACGGGUGAGUAAUACAUCAAUGCGUACCUUUUAGUGGGGAAUAACGGCCUGAAAGGGUUGCUAAUACCGCAUAAUCCUUGGCGGGGAAAGCAGGGGACCGCAAGGCCUUGUGCUGAAAGAGCGCGUGAUGCCUGAUUAGCUUGUUGGUAAGGUAAUGGCUUACCAAGGCUCCGAUCAGUAGCUGGUAUGAGAGUAUGGCCAGCCACACUGGGACUGAGACACGGCCCAGACUCCUACGGGAGGCAGCAGUGGGGAAUUUUGGACAAUGGGGGCAACCCUGAUCCAGCAAUGCCGCGUGUGUGAUGAAGGCCUUCGGGUUGUAAAGCACUUUUGUUGGGGAAGAAAAGUUGCAUGCUAAUAUCGUGCAAUAAUGACGGUACCUAAAGAAUAAGCACCGGCUAACUACGUGCCAGCAGCCGCGGUAAUACGUAGGGUGCGAGCGUUAAUCGGAAUUACUGGGCGUAAAGAGCGCGUAGGCGGUAGCGUAAGACGGAUGUGAAAUACCAGGGCUUAACCUUGGUGCUGCGUUCGUAACUGCGCUUCUUGAGUGUCCUAGAGGGAGGUAGAAUUUCGCAUGUAGCAGUGGAAUGCGUAGAUAUGCGAAGGAAUACCGGUGGCGAAGGCGGCCUCCUGGGGUGACACUGACGCUGAGGCGCGAAAGCGUGGGGAGCAAACAGGAUUAAAUACCCUGGUAUCC